UGUUAGGAUGUUUGGUAUUUCCCAAAGU
rnacentral:piRNA from 1 species